UGGAUAUGAAAAGAUAAUAAGUACUGGAACGCUUAGUGGCGUCGUUGUUGUUGCCAUUGUACAUAAAAUAAUAUCUGAAGGAAAUAAUUUUCUUCGUGACGGACGUUGGAGCAGGUGAAAUCGUGUUCAACUGGUUGCUUGUAGUGUUACGUGCGGUGUUGGAUCUCGGAGAAGAUAUCAGAUAUGAACGUGCAACAACCCAGCUCCACAAAAUGGCGGCAAAGACUGUGGAGCAGAAAACACAAGUAGUUCAACAGAGCCUUGUGACACACAUGUCAAAUGUCCAGUUCUUCUUGACGGAGUUUGGAGCAGUUGGAAUCUUAAUCGACUAGGUGUCUGAAGUGUUAUGUGCGAUGUGGGGUCUCGAGCACGAUAUGAGAUGCGAACGUGCACUAACCCAGCUUCGCAAAAUGGCGGUAAAGACUGUGGAACACAAAACAAACGAAGCUUAACAGAGGCUUGUGACACAAAGGUCAAAUGUCCAGGUUGUCUUGAUGUUGUGUCCUUUAGUAUUAUAUCAAAAGGAUGGUAGGGCCUUCGAGGGCAUCUAACUUUAAAUAGAAAAAUAAAUACAAUCAUAUUUGUCAUUGGUGAGAUAUAUAACAGAAUGU